AUUGAACGCUGGCGGCAGGACUAACACAUGCAAGUCGAACGAGUGGCAGACGGGUGAGUAAUGUCUGGGAAACUGCCUGAUGGAGGGGGAUAAAUACUGGAAACGGUAGCUAAUACCGAAUAAAAUCGGAUGUGCACAGAGGGGAUUCGAUAGUAGGUGGGGUAACGGCUCAACUAGGCGACGAUCCCUAGAUGGUCUGAGAGGAUGACCAGCCACCUUGAAACUCAGACACGUUCCAGCCUCCUUCGGGAGGCAGCAGUGGGGAAUAUGGCACAAUUGGCGCAAGCCUGCUGCAGCCAUGCCGCGUGUAUUAGGAAGGCCUUCGGGUUGUAAAGUACUUUCAGCGGGGAGGCUUUACCCGCAGAAGAAGCACCGGCUAACUCCGUGCCAGCCGCCGCGGUAAUAC
rnacentral:rRNA from 1 species